rnacentral:misc_RNA from 1 species
GACUGCACCGGUUCCGCCAUAUUGAUUGGUCACGUUGAGUUCCAUUACGGCAUGGCUCAUUUCAAUCCUCCUCAAAUACAGGACAACCCAAGUGGGUGGGGUCCUUGUGCGAUUCCAGAUCAAUUUAAAGAUUUGCCAUACCAGCCAUUUUCCAAGGGAGAUCGCCUGGGAAAGGUAUCUGAUUGGACUGGUGCCACUUACCAAGACAAAAGACAUCUAGGAAAAUAUUCCUCUGCAUUUGGUGGGGGCGCAAGCCAGUAUGCUUAUUUUCAUGAAGAGGAUGAAAACAGCUUCCAGCUGGUGGAUACUUCUAAGAUCCAGAAACCUCAAUACCAGAGAGGCCGCAGAGUGUUCCAGCAGAACAAGCAGAGAAGGGAAAGAGAGAGAAGACAACAGCAGAACCAGGCCAACAUGCAGGUGCUCUCCAAGAUGCAGAAGAGUAGGGAGAGAGAUAGACAGAGGCAGUUGAGAAAGUGGCAGAAGCAAUUUGGAAAGCAAAUGCAGGAAAACAGAAACAAGGCGCCUCUGAAGAACAGGGAUGCCUCUGUUCAGGUCAAGGACAGCUGGGAGGUGGUGGAAGAGAUGGAUUUCCCCCGACUGUCCAAGCUCAGUAUGCCAUCAGUGGAUGAUGGAGAAGACCUGCUAAAAUGUGGCAGCAUGGAGUACUAUGAUAAGCAGUACGAUAGAGUGACAACCAAAGAGGAGCUGUGUUGGCUACAGAGCUGAAAAACAACAGCUGUAAACUGGCCAAGUGGACUGUCUGCUCGCUACUGGCAGGAUCAGACCAGAUCAAGUUUGGCUAUGUUUCACGUGUGCAUCACCGAGACACAAGUAAACAUGUGAUCCUUGGAACACAGCAGUUUAAACCAACCGAAUUUGCGAAUCAGAUUAAUCUCAACAUGGAAAAUGCAUGGGGGGUUCUCAGGUGUAUUGUUGACACUUGUAUGAAACUCAAAGAAGGAAAAUAUCUUAUCAUGAAAGACCCCAACAAGCCUGUUAUGAGAAUUUAUGAUAUACCUGAUGAUACAUUUGAAUCUGAAGACGAUGAUGAUGAUGAGGAUGAUGAAGACGAUGAAGAUGAUGAGGAGAGCAGUGAUGAUGAUGAUGGAAAGAAAUGAAAAGAAGCUUGACAUACAGUAGAAAUGAAGAUUAAUUGACCAAGGAUUAAAAUUGACUCAAAAGAAGAGAAAUUUACUAUUAUCACAUAUAAAUGUAUACAUUUUGUUUGGAUAUGACUGUACAUUUUGAUAUGUUUUUUCCUUGCUUUGGGUAUCUUGUUAUUUGAGUGAUUGGAAAGUUUGGCUUAUUGUACUGUCCAACAAUAAACCGUGGAAAUGCCGU